CCACUCAUACAAAGGAGCCGCCAGGAGCUGUAGUUGUGGGGGAGGGCUAUGCAUAACAAGAUCGACACAGGCUGAUAAGCCGGCCAGCACGACACCCAGCCCUUGCUAAGACAAGCUCAGGUCCUUCUGCUUUGCCUCCUCCACUGGAAACAUGCUUGGGGUGUCUUCAUGGUUUAUCCCUCUGCCCACUUGGCUCUUCUCGGGGCUCUUCAAGGCACUCGGUUAUGAGAAAAACCACAGGAAUAUUUCCUUCUUGACUGCAGCAGCGAGGUCCAAGUUUCAUUUAAGAACCGGCCAGAUACUUCCUCCUCAGUGCCGUGGGAAGACUUCACAAUAGAGAGUGUUUGAAACUUUACCUCUGCACACCUGCCUCAUAACCUUACUCUCUUCCAGCGGGUCUUCUUCUGUUUCCCCAGGGUCAGAGCUUUGUGGCUGCCGACCCAGGCAGCUGGGGCUCUGGGUCCCCCUUUCCAUUAAUAAAUGAUGAUUUUAAUUGAAUUGCACACCUGCCAGAAAGCAGGCAUGGCGAUUCACAAA